GCCGGUUUAGCUCAGUUGGUAGAGCGGCUGCCUUGUAAGCAGGAGGUCAGCGGUUCGAGUCCGUUAACCGGCACCA
rnacentral:tRNA from 1 species